CCGGAUAAUCCGUGAACGCUGGAAUGCCUCACGGUUGAAAGCUUUAGCGUCUGAGGAUGGGUCUGCGGCCGAUUAGGUAGUUGCUGGGGUAACGUCCCAACAAGCCAAUAAUCGGUACGGGUUGUGAGAGCAAGAGCCCGGAGAUGGAUUCUGAGACACGAAUCCAGGCCCUACGGGGCGCAGCAGGCGCGAAAACUUUACACUGCGCGAAAGCGCGAUAAGGGGACCUCGAGUGCGUGCGCAAUGCGUACGCUUUUCAGAUGCCUAAAAAGCAUGUGGAAUAAGGGCCGGGCAAGACCGGUGCCAGCCGCCGCGGUAACACCGGCGGCUCAAGUGGUGGCCGCUAUUAUUGGGCUUAAAGGGUCCGUAGCCGGACCAGUUAGUCCCUUGGGAAAUCUUACGGCUUAACCGUAAGGCUGCCAAUGGAUACUGCUGGUCUUGGGACCGGGAGAGGUAAGAGGUACUUCAGGGGUAGGAGUGAAAUCCUGUAAUCCUUGAGGGACCGCCAGUGGCGAAGGCGUCUUACUAGAACGGGUCCGACGGUGAGGGACGAAAGCUAGGGGCACGAACCGGAUUAGAUACCCGGGUAGUCCUAGCCGUAAACGAUGCGAGCUAGGUGUCACGUGGAUUGCGAAUCCAUGUGGUGCCGAAGGGAAACCGUGAAGCUCGCCGCCUGGGAAGUACGGCCGCAAGGCUGAAACUUAAAGGAAUUG
rnacentral:rRNA from 1 species